CAAUAGCGUAUAUUAAAGUUGUUGCGGUUAAAAAGCUCGUAGUUGGAUUUCUGCUGAGGACGACCGGUCCGCCCUCUGGGUGAGUAUCUGGCUCGACCUGGGCAUCCUUCCAGAGAAUGUGUCUGCUCUUGACUGAGUGGUGCAGUAUCUGGAACUUUUACUUUGAGGAAAUUAGAGUGUUUCAAGCAGGCAUACGCCUUGAAUACAUUAGCAUGGAAUAAUAAGAUAGGACCUCGGUUCUAUUUUGUUGGUUUCUAGAGCUGAGGUAAUGGUUAAUAGGGAUAGUUGGGGGCAUUCGUAUUUAACUGUCAGAGGUGAAAUUCUUAGAUUUGUUAAAGACGGACUACUGCGAAAGCAUUUGCCAAGGAUGUUUUCAUUGA
rnacentral:rRNA from 1 species